AAGUCUAGAUAAUACUCUCUAAUUCCAUGACAUUCCAGUGCCUUGAAAGCCUGGUAAGUGUUGGCAAAUCUGUCACAAUGCUUGUGGUCUUGAUGCAAUGUCUGAACUCUUUCCAGCGGAGUGAAAAUCGCUUCUGUUGUCCCUGCAAGCACUGCCGCCAUGCCACGGGUUGCAAACUCUGGAGCCCUGACAUGCUUGUGGAGAAGGCAGGAUAAAUCCUCAUACAGACCAAACAUAAGUGUAAGUGCAGUUGUUUUCUGCAUCAAUGGGGGAAGCAUUCCACAAUGAAGUUUCGAAAUCCAUCUUUUCUCAAGUGAAGUAAUGCUUCCCGGGUUUUGAUGCCAUGCAGCUGCUGUCGAAGGAGGACCUUCUGAAUGGGAAAUGUGAUUGCGAUGUUGCUGAAGGCGGCACAGCAGCCACACAAGUAAUGCUUCAUUUCACCAACAUUUGUAAUAUGAGAUGAUAUAUCUUGUUUUGAAGGUGUUAGUAUUGGUGGCCUCUUUUCAUGAGCUUCUGAAUCCAUCAUGUUGCUUAAGAUCUUUCUUUUUCAAGAACUUUUUUUUUAACCUGUAACACCAUCUGAGCCUGGAGUUUGGCAAGAUGAUAGCUUUUUGAUAAUGUUCCCAAUUUCUUCCAUUGUUAUUGUUCCGCUAGGUUCUCUCUUCUGGAGUCAAUUUUGGUACUGGAUUUCUGUUCUCCAGGCGUCCAUUUACCCAACCUGUCAAUAACGGCGAGGGGGUUGGACAAGAUCACUAAGUCCUAUUCCGUCUUUAACACUCCACAGUCAGGGGUCCCGCGGUGAGGAGGCCAAAAUCCCAGUCUCCCAGGAGGCGGGGACCCCACUCUCCCCCGGGCUCACCUGCUCCUACUCGCCCCUGCGGUUCCUGCGCACGAGGGAGAUGCCUCCCCAGCCCAGGGCGCGCCCGAAUGAAGGCACGGCCUCCUUCGGGAAAGGUCGCCCAGCAGCCUGACAAACACCUGUGUCAACCAGAAAGCCGUGAGCCGAAGACGGAGCUGAGAAGAAGCAAGAAGGAUGGAGGAAGUUGCAUCACUACUCAAGGGAGCUAUGGAGAGGCGCCUCCAGCGAUGGAAGAACCCUCAACACACACACAGAAUCAGCUUGAAACACCUGCUGAGCCCAAGAACAUGAAACCCUCUUAUGAAAAUACCAGUCAAGCUGGAGUGCAAUGAUAUGGUCUCGGCUCACUGCAACCUCCGCCUUUUGGGUUCAAGUUAUUCUCCUGCCUCAGCCUUCUGAAUAGCUGGG
rnacentral:lncRNA from 13 species